rnacentral:rRNA from 1 species
CCUACGGGUGGCUGCAGUGAGGAAUAUUGGUCAAUGGACGAGAGGCUGAACCAGCCAAGUAGCGUGAAGGAUGACUGCCCUAUGGGUUGUAAACUUCUUUUAUAAAGGAAUAAAACGAGGCACGUGUGCCUUGUUGCAUGUACUUUAUGAAUAAGGAUCGGCUAACUCCGUGCCAGCAGCCGCGGUAAUACGGAGGAUGCGAGCGUUAUCCGGAUUUAUUGGGUUUAAAGGGAGCGUAGAUGGGUUGUUAAGUCAGUUGUGAAAGUUUGCGGCUCAACCGUAAAAUUGCCAUUAAUACUGGCAGUCUCGAGUACAGUUGAGGUAGGCGGAAUUCGUGGUGUAGCGGUGAAAUGCUUAGAUAUAACGAAGAACCCCGAUAGCGAAGGCAGCUUACUAAACUGUGACUGACAUUGAUGCUCGAGAGUGUGGGUAUCAAACAGGAUUAGAUACCCUUGUAGUC